rnacentral:lncRNA from 1 species
CGCGCUGCCCACUGCCCACACCAGCAAUGAGGCAGCCCGCAUUUCCCCAUCUCUUCCUCGGCUGGUGCCAACCACCCUGGAACGUCCUGGAACUUGUUGUCUCUCUAUUUUCAGGAAGGCAAGACCCUUCCCCAUGCACACGAAUGCGGGACUGGGGAUGACCGGCCAGGGAUUUGGUAGGGACACAGGACCAGGGCACCCUAAAGGGCUCUGGCCUGGCAGACAGGUGAGUCUGAGAAGGGGCCCUUACUGAACCCUUCCUGCUAAGUUUAGGAGCACACACGUUUCUGUGCCCUCGGUUCAAGUCUCUAGAUUCCUCUGGGCCAUGAAUCCAUUGUCCAUAUUUACCUGAAAUAAGACUUUUUCUACUAGGAAAUCAUAACUACCUACCUACGCACUAAAGCAAAUUCCACUGAAGUAAAUACACUUGUCCUCAUUACUGAGAUUCAUUCUAACGUUUCCCGAGGUUAAGAAUCCCAAGCUCCAGAGCUAGGGCUGGACGUGAGAGUUGAAAAGCAACACAGGUUCCAGGGUUAAGCCGGGCAGCCCGACAGGGAGAAGGUGACAACCGUCCUCUCUGUCACUCUUGCAACAGUUAGGGGCACCUGGCCUUGGAUCUCAGCUCAGCCACCCACUUACCCCUCGUGACUUCUCACAGAGCCUUAAUGUCCCCACAGACAGGCCAGGAAGACGACUAGCUGUGCCGGCCGCUUAGCGGGUAAGGAAUAAGCUACGUUACUGUUGCUGAUAAAGCAUCUCUGGGUCCUGACCUCCUUUCCCUUCCUCCGAUCGCGAUCGCGGAAAGGAGAAGCGGGCUCCUCCGGGCCGCGCUGCCUGGAAACUGCCACAAACAGCUCAGGCAAGACGGGAGAACCGGAAGAAAAACACUCAGAUCCCGGCGCAUACUGAUUCCAGCGGCCACACCCGGACCUCGCCGGCCAGGCCCAGCGCCCGGGACGCGGAGCGGGGCGGGGGGGGGGGGGGAGCCCGGGGCUGCCGGGGGCGGGGCGCACGGCGGCGGCGGAGGCGUCCGGGGCGCAGGGCAGGGGCGCGGCGCAGGGAGCAGUCCGCACACACGGGCGGGGGCUGCGGUGAUCACUCGCCACCGGGCGCUCGGGGCCGAUGGAGCCCCGGCUGGCCUGUUCCGCGCGGCCCCGUCUUACCGGCUCAGCGCUGGUUCGGGCUCCGGGCGGCGCGAGGUGUGGGAAGAAGCGCUAGGGCCCGAGGCCCUUAUAGCUGUGGAAGGGGAGUGUCGCCCAGGCAGGAGGCGGGCGGGCGGGCAGGGCCUUGGCCCUUCCCCCAGAGGACUUCCUGGGAGUCCGGGCUUGGAGGCUUGGCGUUGUAGAAGCCGAGGUGAAGGCUCAAUCCGCGUGAAGCUGAUUGGCAUGUCAUCCAGCAUGUGCACUCCCCUGUGUCAGCAGCCUGUGCCCAAGGGACCCGGAUGA